AUUGAACGCUGGCGGCAUGCCUUACACAUGCAAAUCGAACGGUAACGGGCCUUCGGGUGCCGACGGGUGGCGAACGGGUGAGUAAUACAUCGGAACGUGCCCGAUCGUGGGGGAUAACGAGGCGAAAGCUUUGCUAAUACCGCAUACGAUCUACGGAUGAAAGCAGGGGACCGCAAGGCCUUGCGCGGACGGAGCGGCCGAUGGCAGAUUAGGUAGUUGGUGGGAUAAAAGCUUACCAAGCCGACGAUCUGUAGCUGGUCUGAGAGGAUGAUCAGCCACACUGGGACUGAGACACGGCCCAGACUCCUACGGGAGGCAGCAGUGGGGAAUUUUGGACAAUGGGCGCAAGCCUGAUCCAGCCAUGCCGCGUGCAGGAUGAAGGCCUUCGGGUUGUAAACUGAUUUUGUACGGAACGAAAAGCCUUCUUUUAAUACAGGAGGGUCAUGACGGUACCGUAAGAAUAAGCACCGGCUAACUACGUG
rnacentral:rRNA from 1 species